AACGCACACUUGGCUGACUCGGGUCAAAGUGCAGUAUCUCUUCUUAUCAGCUUAAUAUCUGAUACGGGUUCUAUUUGGACCAAAGAUGCUAUGUUUAUUUUUGCAAGUUGGCGGAGUUCUUGAAACCUGCUUCACCUCCGCCGUGGUCGGCCCGGUAUCACACCCUCCCCGGGAUCGGCCCACGGUUU